rfam:Schistosoma rodhaini strain Burundi genome assembly, scaffold: SROB_scaffold0001293
GCACUGCUGAAGAGUCCCACAACAGGAUGAAAUGGCCAUCCAGUGC